GACUCUCAAUUGUAUAUAUAUACAAGUAUUAUUCCUCUAAUAAAGAACAAGGAAUUGAGAAAUACCUUGAUUCGGUUACAAAUGGGAAGCAUUGCCGUCUAUAGGAAAACACAUCCAUUUCAAUUAGGAGCCUCAUUCCCGUAUGGGGACUCCAUAAUAAAGCCUUUAGCCUGAACCGAGAAACCACCACAGCUUGUUUUCAGGAUUAGGUGAACUAAAGACACAUCCAGCAGAGAUCCCCAUGCCAAUGGAGGUGAUGUUUGUUAUGAUCUGAAGAAUACUAAUGGUAGGUUUAUCUGAGCCAUUUUGUAGUUCAUCAGGCAACUAUUCACUU
rnacentral:lncRNA from 1 species